UGGUUUUUUUUUUUUUUUUUUUUUUUUUUUC
rnacentral:ribozyme from 1 species